rnacentral:rRNA from 1 species
ACUCCUGCGGGAGGCAGCAGUGGGGAAUAUUGGACAAUGGGCGCAAGCCUGAUCCAGCCAUGCCGCGUGAGUGAUGAAGGCCCUAGGGUUGUAAAGCUCUUUCACCGGUGAAGAUAAUGACGGUAACCGGAGAAGAAGCCCCGGCUAACUUCGUGCCAGCAGCCGCGGUAAUACGAAGGGGGCUAGCGUUGUUCGGAUUUACUGGGCGUAAAGCGCACGUAGGCGGACUAUUAAGUCAGGGGUGAAAUCCCGGGGCUCAACCCCGGAACUGCCGUUGAUACUGGUAGUCUUGAGUUCGAGAGAGGUGAGUGGAAUUCCGAGUGUAGAGGGGAAAUUCGUAGAUAUUCGGAGGAACACCAGUGGCGAAGGCGGCUCACUGGCUCGAUACUGACGCUGAGGUGCGAAAGCGUGGGGAGCAAACAGGAUUAGAUACCCCUGUAGUCCCAU